rnacentral:rRNA from 1 species
AGGGGGCUGUGCCCGAAAGGGAACUGGAACACAGGUGCUGCAUGGCUGUCGUCAGCUCGUGUCGUGAGAUGUUGGGUUAAGUCCCGCAACGAGCGCAACCCUUGUCAUUAGUUGCUACAUUCAGUUGGGCACUCUAAUGAGACUGCCGGUGACAAACCGGAGGAAGGUGGGGAUGACGUCAAGUCCUCAUGGCCCUUAUGGGUAGGGCUUCACACGUAAUACAAUGGCGCGUACAGAGGGUUGCGAAGGGGCGACCUGGAGCCAAUCCCACAAAGCGCGUCGUAGUCCGGAUUGCAGUCUGCAACUCGACUGCAUGAAGUCGGAAUCGCUAGUAAUCGCGGAUCAGCAUGUCGCGGUGAAUACGUUCCCGGGUCUUGUACACACCGCCCGUCACACCAUGGGAGUGGGUUUCACCAGAAGCCGGUCGCCUAACCGCAAGGGGGCCGCUUACCACGGUGCGUUUCGUGACUGGGGUGAAGUCGUAACAAGGUAACCGUAA